CCCUCCUCCCACUUUAACGCGCGACACCGCUCUGAUCGACGGACGUUCGAAGCCAAUCAUAAUCGAAUAAAACAAUAAAACAAAAUAAAAAUAUGAAACAACGUUUGAACCCUUCUCUCGGGCUCUCGGCCGCCACACCGAUCCAUGUCCUAAUCCUUCAGAUCGCCCCACCCACGCCCUUCGCAGAGGGGAGGAGGAAGCCGUCGUUCGAACCCUUCUCCCGGCCGCCGCACUGAUCCAUGUCCUAAUCCUUCAGAUCGCCCCGCCCACACCCUUCGCGGAGGGGAGGAGGAAGCCGAGGGUGCCUGGUGUGGGCUUCCUGGGUCUCCGCCGAUACGGUGCCUCCGGCCGUCGGGAAGGCGAAGGCGUACCUGUACGUCGUGGCGCUUCUUCACUGCCACUGGGAGGUGUCCGGGAAGAGACACCACCGAGCUGGGUCUCCGAAUGACGGCGGCGAGUGGACGCCCUCGAUGGAGCGAUCCUUGUCAGGCGCCUGAUCCCCGUCAGCGCUCGUGUGCUCGCGAGGCCCCAUGGCCCCUGUUGCGAUCGCGACAACCGUUCUUCAGGCCCCUCGCUCCCCGUGGGGCGCUGUUGUUCUACGCACAGGACGACGGUGGGUACAUAUCCCCAUGGAUGCAGUCGUAACAGGGGCUGAUGUGGCUGGCUGGCGGCGACGAUGGGUCGUCUACCCCGGACGUGAUUCCUUUGUCCAUGCUCGCCAUCACGUACCUCUACGAUGCCAUGCCAUGCGCACCGCGCGCGGACGCCGUCGCCCGACACGGCCUCCUCCCCGUGCUCUCCUCUCGGCUGCUAGCCAUCGAGUACCCCGACGUAGCUGAGUGUUUGCAAGCAUUUGAGAAGAUAUCACGGAUCCAACCUGGCCCAGUGCUUGCAGGCGGGCAUGAUCAACGUUGUGCUGGCAUUCAUUGACUUCUUCGAUACAAGGUUGUAGUAUCAGCUGUAUGGAUUCAGUCCCAACUCUAUGUAAUCUUCUACAAUUUGAGGACAAAGUGAUGGUGGAGAAGGUUGCAGCUUGCUUGAUAAGCAUCGUGGACUCCUUUAGCUCGUCAGUUGAUAUUGUCGAGUGUCGACUAGCUCUGUCACCAGGGUGCUUUUUUGAAGUAAUCUUGGGACUAGGGGGCAAGCAAGGAGCCCCCACAGGCAAUGUCACCAGGGUGUUAUAGAGAAGGUCCUACCUUUGACCCACACCAAUGGACUCAUGGCCCUUUCCAUCGACGUGCACUGUCGUUUGCUCUACAACUUCUUGCAUGUGUUCGAUAUGUGUUGAGGGAGCUGACUUGUGUGUCGUGGUUGGGCUUCUUUCUAAGCUAGCCUGUACUUCACUUGUGGCAGUGAAGUCUCUAUUUGAGCUGGGUGUUAGUAGCACAAUAAAGUGGAUUUUGAUCACUUCAGACUUAUUAGAUCUCCCAUGGCAUGCUAGAGGCAUAGCAGAUAUGAUGUUUGUUGCUAGAUGCUAUUAAUAAAUCUUUUUAUAGCUAUCGUGAUAUAUACUUUUCCUUUUAAACAAAAUAUUAUGCGUGUGCUCUUCUUGCAUUCAAUAGUUUUGCUUUUGCAUGU